AACACUCACUGACAAAAUAUAUUCAGAUAACUUUAAAUAUAUUUGAUUACUUAGUGGAAAAUGUAAAUAUUUUACUGUCUAACAGGACUAAAUAAUGUGUCUCUAUGUUCUGGAAAGAGGAGAGAUUUACUUGUGUCAGAGACUCCCCAUUCUUGGACAGCUGCAACAUAUGUGAGAAGUGUUCUUCACAUCGGAAGUCUCUGGAAAUUUUUACAUCUCCACACCUGCUCCAUUUUGUGUUUCCCUUGGCUUGAUGAAAGGAAAGCUAUGAGAUACGUGGACCUCCACGGCCCAGAAGCCCUCACUGGACUGCACAUGAGCAAACAAGCCUUGUUCUGUAGAAUCUAGUUCAAUCUGCGUAUACUUAAGAAUAAGAGGAAAGAGGCUGGGAGCAAAACUGUGUUCUGGUCUUUGCCCAAAGCAUCCUUUUUUCCUCCCUCUUUGCAAACCCCGAAAGUCUGAAAAGCUGGAGUGGUUAGCUUCCACACUUCUUUCCUAAAUGCAAAGAGAGAUGCUCGUUUAUGGACCAGAAUGAGAAAACGAGAAGCACCCAGACUCUCACGGGACAGUUUGCCAGUAAAGUCUUCCAAGUCCAAGAAGCUUUACAUAAGUUGGAGGUACCCUGGAAAGGGACCAACAGCCUUUUCAGCUCUUUACCCAUCACUAAUUCUGGCUCCAGCUGGACUCCGGCUUGCUGAUGAAAGGGAAUGAAAGCCGCGGGCCUCCAAGGGCAUUUUGGAUGGAAUCUAUUCAGCCUGAAUUUACUUGCCCUGCAUUAUGACAUCUCCAUGACAACAAGCACAUGUCUCAGUGUGUUACAUGGAGAGGGGCUGUCCUUUGUGAGGAGAAUCUGACCAUGUGCCACUUCCUUCCUGGAUGCUGCAUUGGGCUCCACCUUGAGUCAGUCUCCCCUCAUUUCCUAUGAUAGGCAUAUCGAGAGAUGUGUGAGGCCAGCAUCCAAAUUUCUGAACCCACCAUAGAUCGCGCUGGAGACAUGUGGCAGUGGAGUUUGCUCCAGCAGCAGUUGGCAUGCAUGGGGCUGAUCAGAAAUUGAGGCUGAGGCAGCUUUCCUGCUGUCAGUUGACUCCUUCUUUUAGCUGGGUUCUGAAGGCCAUGAGAUGAAAGGGUGGGCUAGACACUGGCCAUCAUUAUUCUGUUUCAAAAUGUGUGAUUUGUGAGACUUCUGGUACCCAACGGAGCCCCACAUAAGAUCCUGAAAUUAUUGUCCCCUGAACUGUCUGUCCUUUAGUCAUUUUACAAACUUGAGAGAUGGCAAAACAAAACAAAACAAAACAAAACCCCACAAAACCAAACAGUCACUGAGUAUUGGUCACAAGAAUAUUUAGUUUGAUAUCAUUGCAUGAGAAAACAUUUUCUCUUUCUCAUAUUCUCAUCAUCCACAGUACCCAUAAUAGGAUUAUCUAUCAUGAGAGAUGUUUUAGGGAAAAAUUUAUUGAUUCUUGUUUUUAGCCUGCUUAGUUAUUCAUCCCUCAAAGGAGACAGCUGAUAUGUUUCUGGAUAAUAAGGCCUGGUUUCCAUUUGUACAUAUUUCUUUUGGAGGUGGCAACACUAUGCCAAAGACUGUGCCAUGAUUCCCUGUCUCCCACAUCUCCCACAGUAGAUUCUCAUUUUCAUUUCUUUGUCUACUAGUUCAUUAACUUUCAUAUAUGGUAGCUCUAAUCAUUGAGAAUCUAAAAACCAGCCAUCCUUAAGACAGUGCUUACCCACGGGUGCAGAAUCAUCUCACUGAUUAUGGAGUUUAUAUUUAGGCAUUAAACUUCAACUAUGGAGAAACUUCUCAAAGAGCUAAAAGAAAAUCUGCCAUAUGACCCAUCCAUACCAUUCUUGGUACACCCAAAGAAUUUACUAUCUAACUAUAGUGAAGCUUGCUUAGUUUUUCAUUGCUGCUCUAGUCACAAAAACUAGCAAGUGGAAGAGGCCUAAUUUUCCUUAAAAUAAUGAAUGGAUGAAAAUGUGACUCAAAUACAUUGUGGGUUACUAUUCAGCUGAAGCAAAUAUAAAAUAAUGAAAUCUGCCAGUAAAUGAAUGGAACUAGAAAAUGUUAUACCAUGUGAGAGAAUCCAGACCUAGAAAGACAAAUGUCACACGUUCUUCUUUACUUGUGGAACAUGCUUCUGUAUCUUUAGGUUUGAGUAUGUAACUUGAAGUAACCACAGAAGCCAGUAAAAUAGAAAGGGAUCAUGGGAGAGUGCUGAGUAAGAGCUCUAGAGAGAGGGGAAGUAGGACAUGAGGGACAAACAAAAGGAGAGACUUGAACUCAGAAGAAGAAAGGGAGGGUUAUAUGGAGGGAGUAGAGGAAAGGAGGGAUAAAACAGCCCUCAGAUGCUUGAAAAAGUCAUAGGGAAACAGUUUUACAAGAUUAAUACACACACACACACACACACACACACACACACACACACACACACACACACACCUCAUGUGGGGUGAUUAUACUUCCCUCAAGAUCCAUAGACUUUCUGACCAAAAAACUCCAGUCACAGGCGUGGGAUACCUCCUUUCUAUUUUCCAAUCAGUUUUUUGUAAUUAAGAAAUUUUUUAUUCAUUUUACAUACUAACCACAGAUCCCCCUCUCUUCCCUCCUCCUGCCUCCCACCCUCCCCCUCACAACCCCCCAUUCUCUCCUCCGACAAGGUAAGGCCUCCCAUAGGGAGUCAGAAGAGCCUGGUACAUUCAGUUGAGGCAGGUCCAAGUCCCUCCCCCUGCCCCACAAAUGGUAUAGGCUAUUUUAUAGGCUAGUUCCAUUGCUGUUGGAUGCCUCCCAGAACUUGAAGGCAUGGUCUUAUUACUGAAGACAUAACACACUUUGGACACAAGACUUGGAGAAAACAAGCUCGAUAUAACCUAGAAGACUCCUUCUUGAGGACUUGCUCUCACUGUAUUCAAAGGUGCUAUGCAAGCCACAAAGGCAAAAAAAAAAA